rnacentral:rRNA from 1 species
GACGAACGCUGGCGGCGUGCUUAACACAUGCAAGUCGAACGGAAAGGCCCUGCUUUUGUGGGGUGCUCGAGUGGCGAACGGGUGAGUAACACGUGAGUAACCUGCCCUUGACUUUGGGAUAACUUCAGGAAACUGGGGCUAAUACCGGAUAGGAGCUCCUGCUGCAUGGUGGGGGUUGGAAAGUUUCGGCGGUUGGGGAUGGACUCGCGGCUUAUCAGCUUGUUGGUGGGGUAGUGGCUUACCAAGGCUUUGACGGGUAGCCGGCCCGAGAGGGUGACCGGCCACAUUGGGACUGAGAUACGGCCCAGACUCCUACGGGAGGCAGCAGUGGGGAAUAUUGCACAAUGGGCGGAAGCCUGAUGCAGCAGCGCCGCGUGCGGGAUGACGGCCUUCGGGUUGUAAACCGCUUUCGCCUGUGACGAAGCGUGAGUGACGGUAAUGGGUAAAGAAGCACCGGCUAACUACGUG